CCUACGGGAGGCAGCAGUGGGGAAUAUUGCACAAUGGGGGAAACCCUGAUGCAGCAACGCCGCGUGAGUGAUGACGGCCUUCGGGUUGUAAAGCUCUGUCUUCAGGGACGAUAAGGACGGUACCUGAGGAGGAAGCCACGGCUAACUACGUGCCAGCAGCCGCGGUAAUACGGAGGUGGCGAGCGUUGUCCGGAUUUAAUGGGCGUAAAGGGAGCGUUGGCGGACUUUUAAGUGAGAUGUGAAAUAUUCGGGGUCAAAUUGCGCGCUGCAUUUCAAACUGGAAGUCUAGAGUGCAGGAGAGGUGUAUGGAAUUCCUAGUGUAGCGGUGAAAUGCGUAGAGAUUAGGAAGAACACCAGUGGCGAAGGCGAUUCUCUGGACUGUAACUGACGCCGAGGCUCGAAAGCGUGGGGAGCAAACAGGAUUAGAUACCCUGGUAGUC
rnacentral:rRNA from 1 species